CAUUACAUGCGGUUUGGCUUUUUAACUGCAGUUCUUUAAGAAUGCUUUUUUCUAUCACUGGUGUAAUUCUGAGUAUCUUACAGAUAGUUUCUAGUAGACAUUUCAAGAAAGAGAAGCCAAGAUCACUGAGGAGAAAACAAUGAGGCGGCUUUCUGAAUUCAUAAUGAAUUUGUGGAUCUUACUCUUUGCCUGUGUAAAUUUUGCGAUGCAAAACAGGAGAAGAUUAAAGUAAUUAAAUGACUGUUUCUAGCUGUUGGGUCACUUAAUUGCUGGCACUAAAUGAGAGAGAAAAUAAUUUGUUCUACUCUGCAACACUCAUUUUACUUUCCUUGGUUAUCUGGUCAUCUUAAACUUACCAUACCAACUGAAGUGCAUGAAAACAAAAGCAAUGGCUACCAGUUUUCUAGGAUAUUUUCUGUUCUCUUUUCUGGGAGAAAUUGUUUAAAAUGUUCACCUUGCACACAUACAUUUCUAUGAUCUGAAUACAAGGCCUCAAAUAAAUUCUCUGCUGGAGGUGACAAAUUUGUGUUCACUUAUUCAUUAUCCAAAAUCUCAAA